GGUAGAAGAGAGAUAUUAUUAGCUUAUGGGCUGUAAUAGUUUGGAGCACAUCAACCAGGUUGUAGAGGACGAAGCUGUUUUGAGUUCAGUUUUCACUUAAUAUAAAUUAGAUGUAACUACUAAAUUAAAUUGCUUGAUUUACUGAGAUACUGAAAGGGAGGACCAUUAGCUACUUACAACUUUUUUCAGAAGACUACGGAAGGUGAUUUUUUUUGUUUGUUUUCCUUUUUCAACACUUGCAAUGAAACUGCCACCUAUACUUUAUAGAAGAACUCUCAUCAGGGAGCAGAAAAAUAUUUUUUUGUCACCUCCUAUUGGAAUGUCUUGUCCAUGAUACUAUGAAGAACUCUGAACCACCCUUUGUUGAAACUAUUCUGCAAUGUAAGAGCAAGCUUCAUCAUGACAAAAGGACAGCAAACAAGGAGUAGCAGGAUUCCCUGCCUUGGCCAUUGUCUGAAGUUCAGGAAAUAUGAUGACAAACUGGAGAGAGUUCAGGAAAAAGACAUAAAUAAAUAAAUAAACCACCACCACUACCACCAC